rnacentral:rRNA from 1 species
UACAGAGGUCUCAAGCGUUGUUCGGAUUCAUUGGGCGUAAAGGGUGCGUAGGCGGCGCGGUAAGUCAGGGGUGAAAUCCUGGAGCUCAACUCCAGAACUGCCUUUGAUACUGAGGAUCUUGAGUACGGGAGAGGUGAGUGGAACUGCGAGUGUAGAGGUGAAAUUCGUAGAUAUUCGCAAGAACACCAGUGGCGAAGGCGGCUCACUGGCCCGUAACUGACGCUGAGGCACGAAAGCGUGGGGAGCAAACAGG